rnacentral:rRNA from 1 species
ACGGGAGGCAGCAGUGGGGAAUAUUGCACAAUGGGCGCAAGCCUGAUGCAGCGAUGCCGCGUGAGGGAAGAAGGUUUUCGGAUUGUAAACCUCUGUCAACAGGGACGAAAAUGACGGUACCUGUGAAGGAAGCUCCGGCUAACUACGUGCCAGCAGCCGCGGUAAUACGUAGGGGGCAAGCGUUAUCCGGAAUUAUUGGGCGUAAAGAGUGCGUAGGUGGUUACCUAAGCGCAAGGUUUAAUCUUGAGGCUUAACCUCAUUCUGCCUUGCGAACUGGGCUACUUGAGUGCAGGAGGGGAAAGCGGAAUUCCUAGUGUAGCGGUGAAAUGCGUAGAUAUUAGGAAGAACACCGGUGGCGAAGGCGGCUUUCUGGACUGUAACUGACACUGAGGCACGAAAGCGUGGGGAGCAAACAGGAUUAGAUACCCUGGUA